ACCAGCUCCCCGCUGCCCUGCGCAUGGCGGGCUAGCAUCAGGCCCGGGGAAAGCCGAGCAGUUCGGUGUGGCACUGUUUGUGGUGAGGCGAGGGAAGGAGAGAAGAAAACUGCACAGGAUCUAUGGAGGUCUUCUCAUAGGCUUGCAGUAGGCCUAUUUACCACUGGAAACAAGAGAAAGAUAAAGA